AACGAACGCUGGCGGCAUGCCUAACACAUGCAAGUCGAACGAGACCUUCGGGUCUAGUGGCGCACGGGUGCGUAACGCGUGGGAACCUGCCCUUAGGUUCGGAAUAACUCCCCGAAAGGGGUGCUAAUACCGGAUAAUGUCUUCGGACCAAAGAUUUAUCGCUUUUGGAUGGGCCCGCGUUGGAUUAGCUAGUUGGUAGGGUAAAAGCAUACCAAGGCGACGAUCCAUAGCUGGUCUGAGAGGAUGAUCAGCCACACUGGGACUGAGACACGGCCCAGACUCCUACGGAAGGGAGCAGUGGGGAAUAUUGGACAAUGGGCGAAAGCCUGGUCCAGCAAUGCCGCGUGAGUGAUGAAGGCCUUAGGGUUGUAAAGCUCUUUUACCCGGGAUGAUAAUGACGGUACCGGGAGAAUAAGCUCCGGCUAACUCCGUG
rnacentral:rRNA from 1 species